AUUGAACGCUGGCGGCAGGCCUAACACAUGCAAGUCGAACGGUAACAGGAAGAAGCUUGCUUCUUUGCUGACGAGUGGCGGACGGGUGAGUAAUGUCUGGGAAACUGCCUAAUGGAGGGGGAUAACUACUGGAAACGGUAGCUAAUACCGCAUAACGUCGCAAGACCAAAAAGGGGGACCUUCGGGCCUCUUGCCAUCGGAUGUGCCCAGAUGGGAUUAGCUAGUAGGUGGGGUAACGGCUCACCUAGGCGACGAUCCCUAGCUGGUGUGAGAGGAUGACCAGCCACACUGGAACUGAGACACGGUCCAGACUCCUACGGGAGGCAGCAGUGGGGAAUAUUGCACAAUGGGCGCAAGCCUGAUGCAGCCAUGCCGCGUGUAUGAAGAAGGCCUUCGGGUUGUAAAGUACUUUCAGCGGGGAGGAAGGGAGUAAAGUUAAUACCUUUGCUCAUUGACGUUACCCGCAGAAGAAGCACCGGCUAACUCCGUG
rnacentral:rRNA from 1 species